GAGAAGGCAUGUCGUUCAACUUUUGCCAAGUCCAUUUAUUUCCUGCGGGACUAUAUGCGUUAUGUUUGCCGGGAUAAGUUUUUUCUGGUGACAUGUUCGGUACAUGCCUCCAAUGUUAAAGUCUAUGUGUCUUCAAAUCUGUCGUCGGAGAAGAAACAUCAGCUGCCAAUCGGAUAUUUCGAUGAGGAAGUGCCGGCAAACCUUGCUGCUGACUUGGGUCUUGAGCCUCUGGAAGAAGUAGAAGACCAUUAACAGGGAACUGAAAGACUUUACAUUGGUUUGUGCAAGGCUUUACUUCCCGCAGCAGCAGCAUCAGCUUGUGUUAGUUCUCCUCCUUCCUCAUCAUUCCAUUCUUUUGUUUUUAAUCAUCUUCUUUUUUAGUUUGUUAUGUAUGAAUGUCUUAAUGGCUUACAGGGACUAGUGAAGCUUGGACAGUCUUGCGGCGAUGACAAAUCGAGGAGGAUAACACUAACGGUAGACCAAGCUGCCAUCUCCUUCGCAUUGCAGGCCGUCCGUUUCUUUCGAAAUUGUCUCGACCAGUAACCGGUUUCGAAACUCACAAAGGCAGCUGGGGAAAUCAUUUAUGUAUUUGAUUGAUUGAUCGUACUCAACAAUAUAUUUGAAAGAAAAAUCAAGUUACAACUAUUAAUCUCUUUGUUAAGUACUUAAUUAAUCGAAAAGUCCAC
rnacentral:lncRNA from 1 species